ACAGAGGGUGCAAACGUUGUUCGGAAUUACUGGGCGUAAAGCGCGUGUAGGCUGCUUGGAAAGUCGGAUGUGAAAGCCCUGGGCUCAACCUAGGAAGUGCAUUCGAAACUUCUGAGCUUGAGUAUCGGAGAGGAAGGCGGAAUUCUCGGUGUAGAGGUGAAAUUCGUAGAUAUCGAGAGGAACACCGGUGGCGAAGGCGGCCUUCUGGACAGUGACUGACGCUGAGACGCGAAAGCGUGGGGAGCAAACAGGA
rnacentral:rRNA from 1 species